rnacentral:lncRNA from 1 species
AAAAGAGGGAACAGCUUUGAGUUUUAUUGAGUUGUCUGCAUAUCCAUCUAUGACUAGACCUUUAAAAACCUAACAUUCUUCACUUUUGUAUAUUGAGAGUCAUAUAAAUAGAGUCUGUAACUGGAUACGCCUUAUUGGAUAUCCACCUCAUAUUUUAUGUUACUGAGUUUAUGUUAGUAUUUUAUGUUACUGAGUCAGGACACUGGCUCAGUGUACUAAUAUUCAACACAAAACCUGAAACUGAAAACACAGGUAUCUAGGGGAAGAUGGUUUGGUAACACAAACUUCUGAGAAUUAAGUAGGGUAUUUGGGGGGGAUUUUGUUUGUUCUUGCCUUUUGUGCACAAUAGGCAAUUGUGAUUCGUGUGCAUUUGCUUAUUCUGGUAGGAAAAAAACCCUCCCCCU